rnacentral:tRNA from 1 species
CAUUAGAUGACUGAAAGUAAGUACUGGUCUCUUAAACCACAUUAUAAUAGAUUAACACCUAUUUCUAAUGA